rnacentral:sRNA from 1 species
CCGCGACGCCUCUAUGGGCGUUUCCUCCCUAGACUUAGGCCGCCUCCUACGAAGCGGCUUUCUUUUUGCACGUU